rnacentral:tRNA from 1 species
GAGCCACGUGGCGUAGUGGUUAAGUACUUGCACUGCCACUCACACGGUCAGGAGUUCAAGCCUCCUGUGGGUCA